CUGCACGAUACUUGGUGGCUUUUUUGGUACAAAAAGAUUAUAUUAUUCAAUACAGUGUGUAUAGCAGGGUGAGUCAUAAUGAAUAUGGGUAAUUCCACUUCAGCUAAAAACAUACAUUUUACUCUGUGCAGGUAAAAAGGAAAACUUGUUGCUGCCGGGAUUCUCCAGCAAGGUGGGCGGUGGAGGUGAUAUGCCAUUGGGUUAAAGGAGUUAUCCACAGCAGUUGUUGUUCAUGUCUCGCUAUUGUGUUGCUUGCUUUUGUUUGUGUCAGUGGAAGAAGAGUUUUGUAGGUG
rnacentral:lncRNA from 7 species